AUCUCUUGGCGAAUAGUUUCAUUCAAUCUACCAACAAUAUGGCGUUUACUAUUGGAAUACCUUUGCUAUUAUUACUUGGAUUCAUUGAAAUGCUUUUAAUUCAGCAAUAUGUGGGUGGAAACUGCGUGGGCGAAUGGAUGCCGUCAUGCAGGAUAUAAUUUUGAAACAGCUGCUCACAUAUGGAAAUCUUCUUAAACAAAUUAGUUUGUGCUUAUGUAAAAUUUUCACUAAAAUAAACGUUGAAUUAGUGAAACAAUUCUCUUAAAAUAACUAGUCCAUUGGUCAAUAUAUGUAUGUGGUAUAAAGUCAACUGGAA